rnacentral:rRNA from 1 species
ACUGCAGUCGAGCGACAGAUAAGGAGCUUGCUCCUUUGACGUUAGCGGCGGACGGGUGAGUAACACGUGGGUAACCUACCUAUAAGACUGGGAUAACUUCGGGAAACCGGAGCUAAUACCGGAUAACAUUUGGAACCGCAUGGUUCUAAAGUGAAAGAUGGUUUUGCUAUCACUUAUAGAUGGACCCGCGCCGUAUUAGCUAGUUGGUAAGGUAAUGGCUUACCAAGGCGACGAUACGUAGCCGACCUGAGAGGGUGAUCGGCCACACUGGAACUGAGACACGGUCCAGACUCCUACGGGAGGCAGCAGUAGGGAAUCUUCCGCAAUGGGCGAAAGCCUGACGGAGCAACGCCGCGUGAGUGAUGAAGGGUUUCGGCUCGUAAAACUCUGUUAUUAGGGAAGAACAAACGUGUAAGUAACUGUGCACGUCUUGACGGUACCUAAUCAGAAAGCCACGGCUAACUACGUGCCAGCAGCCGCGGUAAUACGUAGGUGGCAAGCGUUAUCCGGAAUUAUUGGGCGUAAAGCGCGCGUAGGCGGUUUCUUAAGUCUGAUGUGAAAGCCCACGGCUCAACCGUGGAGGGUCAUUGGAAACUGGGAAACUUGAGUGCAGAAGAGGAAAGUGGAAUUCCAUGUGUAGCGGUGAAAUGCGCAGAGAUAUGGAGGAACACCAGUGGCGAAGGCGACUUUCUGGUCUGUAACUGACGCUGAUGUGCGAAAGCGUGGGGAUCAAACAGGAUUAGAUACCCUGGUAGUCCACGCCGUAAACGAUGAGUGCUAAGUGUUGGGGUUUCCGCCCCUUAUGCUGCAGCUAACGCAUUAAGCACUCCGCCUGGGGAGUACGACCGCAAGGUUGAAACUCAAAGGAAUUGACGGGGACCCGCACAAGCGGUGGACAUGUGGUUUAAUUCGAAGCAACGCAAGAUCCAAAUCUGUCCUUGAAACUCUAGAGAUAGAGCUUUCCCUGGGAAGACGGGGCAUGGCGUCAGCUCUCGAAUGUGGGAUCAGACCUACUUCUUGGCUCUGCUGGAGAGUU